rnacentral:rRNA from 1 species
GAUGAACGCUGGCGGCGUGCUUAACACAUGCAAGUCGAACGGAUAGGCCCAAGCUUGCUUGGGUUUUCGAGUGGCGAACGGGUGAGUAACACGGGGGUGAUCUGCCCUGCACGUUGGGAUAAGCCUGGGAAACUGGGUCUAAUACCUGAGAGGACCAGCGGAUAGUGUCGGUGGUGGAAAGUUUUUCGGUGUGGGCUGAGCUCGCGGCCUAUCAGCUUGUUGGUGGGGUAAUGGCUUACCAAGGCGUCGACGGAUAGCCGGCCUGAGAGGGUGUACGGCAACAUUGGGCCUGAGAUACGGCACAGACUGCUACGGGGGGCGGUAGUCGGGAAUAUUGCCCAAUGGGGCGAAGCCUGUUGAAGCAAUGUCGUGUGCGUAAUGCCGGCCUACGGGUUGUAAACCGCUUUAGCCUGAGACGAAGCGUGAGUGACGGUACUGGGAAAAGAAGCACCGGCUAACUACGUG